UCAAUAAGCGGAGGAAAAGAAACCAACCGGGAUUGCCUUAGUAACGGCGAGUGAAGCGGCAAAAGCUCAAAUUUGAAAUCUGGUACCUUCGGUGCCCGAGUUGUAAUUUGGAGAGGGCAACUUUGGGGCCGUUCCUUGUCUAUGUUCCUUGGAACAGGACGUCAUAGAGGGUGAGAAUCCCGUGUGGCGAGGAGUGCGGUUCUUUGUAAAGUGCCUUCGAAGAGUCGAGUUGUUUGGGAAUGCAGCUCUAAGUGGGUGGUAAAUUCCAUCUAAAGCUAAAUAUUGGCGAGAGACCGAUAGCGAACAAGUACAGUGAUGGAAAGAUGAAAAGAACUUUGAAAAGAGAGUGAAAAAGUACGUGAAAUUGUUGAAAGGGAAGGGCAUUUGAUCAGACAUGGUGUUUUGUGCCCUCUGCUCCUUGUGGGUAGGGGAAUCUCGCAUUUCACUGGGCCAGCAUCAGUUUUGGUGGCAGGAUAAAUCCAUAGGAAUGUAGCUUGCCUCGGUAAGUAUUAUAGCCUGUGGGAAUACUGCCAGCUGGGACUGAGGACUGCGACGUAAGUCAAGGAUGCUGGCAUAAUGGUUAUAUGCCGCCCGUCUUGA
rnacentral:rRNA from 1 species